UGAACAGAAACACAGGAGCACAGUUGAAAGUUCCUCUGCUUCAGUAUAGAAUUCUUUGAACAGAACAGACAUGUGAAUAUCUAAAGUCUUUAAGUUUCCAUCAAUGAAGAACAUCAGAACUUUAAGCAGACUAUUAACCAGGAGGAAGAGGAGCUGAGAGAAGAAGAACAACAGAUGAAAGAACUGACAGAGAGAUUGAGGGAGGAGCUGAGCUGUUAGUGAACUAUAGAAGAGACACAAACUUCCACUUUAACACAGUUCAACACACAAAAGCCAAACAUCAUCUUUCUCCAACAUGCUGUCUGUGCAGACAUCUGUGUUCACUCUGCUGCUUCUAGUCAUUGGAACAGAUGUCAGCUGUGAAGAACUCACCGCAGUCAAGAAGGAAGAGUCCACUUUGGAAGGAGCUUCUGUCUCUCUGUCCUACAGAUAUAAAAAUGCUGCAACUGGUGGUGAUGAAUUUUACUGGUAUCGACAAUUUCCAGGAAAACCUCCAGAGUUUCUGAUCUCUCACACUGGGACAAAUAUAUCCACUUCACAACCAGUUCCUGGAUUUUCCUUCAAAGUGAGUGAUGACCAAAGACAAAUGCAUCUGCAGAUCUCCUCUGCUGCAGUGACAGACUCUGCUGUGUACUACUGUGCUGUGAGGCCCACAGUGACAGGAAACAACAAAACUCUGUACAAAAACU